UUAGAAGAGGAGAAAAAUAAAUUCUGACAACAGAAGAAAGUUAGAAGUGAAGCACGUAGCUGGUUCAAAGUCAUUUGUACGACUUCGUCACGACAUGCGAGAUUCCGUCACUGGCCAGGAGCCCGGGUCAGUAGACUUCUACAAGGAACUCACUGUCGGCAGGCGACGGGAUCUUGGGUACAUCCUAGAGCUAGCGAGAUUUGGGAGGAGAUGGACACCUUACGUAGUCAGCCCACUCCCGAUGGUACUCAACGGAGUGAGCCAGAGAUCCUGAGUCAGGUGCUUGGCACUCGUUCUGGAUAUGUGCGUGGGUUUGGCCAUGGUGUUAAGCUCAUGGCACCUGCUAGAGCUGCCUCCAGCCGAUCCAUCGUCAUUGGCGACAGCACCAUAUGCUGAGCUGAUACUGCAGAGAGAGAGGUUCAAUAGCUACGGGUCAUCGUCGAUGACAUCAAAGAUCAACUGGACAGGCAGAGGGAGGAGCAGGAGAGGAAGAUGAUGGAGGAGCUGGUGAGGCAGAGGGAGGAGCAGGAGAGGAGGAUGGACGAUCAGCUGGCGAGGCAGAGGGAGGAGCAGGAGAGGAGGAUGGAGGAGAUGCGGGUGGAGCAUGAGCGAUGGAUGAUGGAGAUAUUUCAGGUUUUCACUGCACGCUUACCCACCGAUGCUCCACCACCUCCGCCUUCUUCUUUGUGAUUUUUUGUAUAUUUGUUUAUGAUGUUAAGUUCAUAUGUAUUUAUGUAUGAAUGAAUGUGAUGCGGAUAAGAUUGUUUGUGUUUGGAUGAAUGUAGUUUAUGUUUGGGUUUGGGUUUAGAUGGAUGUGAAUGUGAAUAUGAUGAAAUAUAUUAUAUAAUAGGUGUAUAUCAGGAUGAAUAUGAUGAAAUAUAUUGUUAACAGGUGUA